GAACGUGUGUAAUUGUGUGAUUGAAUGCUUGUGUUGCUUAUGAAUUCGAAUUAGAAAUAUGGUCGGGUCAUGCUUAAGAUAUGUUAUGUUUGGCUUGGAAUAGAAGAUUAGACAAUAUAGGAUUAUUGAAUGUCACGAACACUUAGAGAACACUACAUUACGAAAUUCGAGAGUUAGAAAUAAAUGAUAAUCGGUGGAUUCUGAAUAGCUGAUACGCACAUUUCAUAAUACGAUAAAAGCUAAUCUUUUAUAUUAUUAGUAGCUUUAUUUAGGAUCAUUAAAAAUAAUCAACUUUUUUGUGCAACACAACAAAUUUUAUACAAUUAGUAAUCUAUAGUUAACAAUUAUUUGUCAUGGAAUGAUACCUUAGCUCAUCACAUUAUUACUUGUCAACGAUCCCGUACGCAUGCUAGUUUUCUCCAAACAUACACUUCUACCAUCAAAUUGAUCCAUUUCACCAUAAUAAUUAUGAUAUUUGAUAAUUUGUUAACUAUCUUAAUUAACUCAAAGUGUAAGUAAAUUGUCACCACAAUUUCUCAUAGUUGCACGACUUUUUAUUUUCAUUACAAGCACCCAAUCUUUGCUUUUUAUAGCGCUUAUGUUUUAAAUGUUUUUCAUAACGUUUUUAUCAUCAACAUUUCAUUAAUUAUAAAAUCUUAUUCUUUAUGAUGAUUUAUAUCCAUAAAGUGGUGUAAGAAGACUUAUUUAUCCUUCAUAGUUUAUAAAAAUAUAGCAAUUAGAAAAGAAUGGGGAUUUUUACUAUAAUUAAAAAGUGGUGCAACCAGAAAAUAAUUUAAUGUCAAUGUAGCCACUCUUAACUGAAUUACCUGUGUACGAAAUGGCCAAAGCGUAAACCUCUCCCGCUCCUCCCUACCAUAAACUACCCAAAUUCAACCAACUAGCCAUUGUGAUUUUACACCGUAAUUAGGUUUUGACUAGUCUAAGACUUCCACAUCCCUUUAGUUUUAAACACCGUCAGUUGGAUUUUACCCUUGCAAAGAGUUUUUUUUAGCCGAGCUUGAUUAGUCUAGUUGAUAAAUUCUAUUAUCCAGUUGAUUUUAUAGGGGUGUUUGAUCUACCUGUCUGCCAGCUAUUGUAAUGGCUUUUGCUUCUUCCAAAUCUAAUUUCUUGAAAAGAGAGAAAGGGAUUAAGUUAAUGUUUACUUCUUUAAGUCACACAAUGCUUUAUCUAUAUAUUUGUUACACAAUGCUUUAUCUAUAUAUUUGCUACCAAUACUGCAAGGCUUCUGUAAAUGGUAAGUUUAUAAAUAGCUUCUUGAACAUAUCUAAAAACAUUCCGAACUACUUAUCAAGCUUGAACUUCUACCGUCACCGUUGGAAUGGAAUCGGACAUACAUAAUCUUUGACAGGAAUGGUUGCUCUAACCCGUCGAUUGUCUGAAAGACUCCAUUUGAUUUUCUUUUGUGGUUUUGUUAGACUGAUCCACUUGUUCCUCACCUUGGGCACCUUUUUUGUAAUAAUAGCAAGCUGUUUCAUGUGUAAUUCUUGUAACUGACCUCCACUACAUAAAUUGAUGGCCUUUACCUAUUCUCUAGAAUUUAUCUCUGUGUUGUUAGGCAAGGUCCCUUGGGUUGUACUUGAUAAAGUGGCUAUUAUCUUUCCCAUUGCUGCUCUAAAGUCUAGAUAGAUGCGUGCUGGUUUUAAAAAUUAGUCUCAGUCUUCAUGAUAUAUUGAGUGAGCAAGUGUUCCGAAAAGGACUUUUUAUCUUGAGGUUGUUGUUGAUGCUAGAAACAUGGUGGUCUGCUUUUCAUAAUUAUCUCAUUGUCACUGUCCUUGAUUGUUGGUCCACAAAAAAUUAGGAUUAUUCCUCCACGAAAAAUUGGCUCUCACCCUAAUCAAAUCCUCCAAGAAAUUGAAAACAUAUUUUCAGGCUCAUGACAUUGAGAUAUUAACCCAUUUUUCGUUGAAGCAAGUUCUACAUGAACCCAACGCUAUCAGAAGGCUAAAAAAUGGGCAAGUAAGCUCAUCUAGUUUGAUAUCGUUUCUGACCUAAAUCUACUAUCAGGGAUCCAUCACUGGCUGGAUUUUUUUUUUCCUCCAAUUUUACCUGGGAAACUCUAAUUACCAUGGAUAUUGAGAAUUUGCAGUCUUCGGAAUAGAGGCCAUAUAAAUUGGUUUUUGAUGGCUAGUUCAAAGAGUCACGAUUAGAAUGGGAUAGUCUUAGUAAGCUCGAAUGGACAUCACCCGAUCUGCACACUAAAGUUCAGCUUCCGUGCUUCGAACAACUUAGAAGAGUAUGAGGUACUAAUCAUCGGGCUUAACUUGCCAAAAGAGAUCCAAUAAAAAGAAAACCAAGUCAAUAACAAAUCUUAGCUCGUUGUAAACUAGGUGAAUGGUAGCUUCAUCGAUAAGGACGUGAGCAAGGCUGCAUAGAAAAUUAUUGAACGCAAAAUCUGGCAACAUAUUGAACACAAAACUCGAUA
rnacentral:lncRNA from 1 species